UACGUAGGGUGCGAGCGUUGUCCGGAAUUAUUGGGCGUAAAGAGCUUGUAGGCGGUUUGUCGCGUCUGCUGUGAAAUUUCGGGGCUCAACCCCGAACUUGCAGUGGGUACGGGCAGACUAGAGUGUGGUAGGGGAGACUGGAAUUCCUGGUGUAGCGGUGAAAUGCGCAGAUAUCAGGAGGAACACCGAUGGCGAAGGCAGGUCUCUGGGCCUCUACUGACGCUGAGAAGCGAAAGCAUGGGGAGCGAACAGG
rnacentral:rRNA from 1 species